CUGAGUGGCUGUAUUCGCGAUUCUCUUCGGAGGAGAGGCGAAGCUACCCGACCUGAUGUCAUUCUAUCCGAGUGCGCGUCCGCUUGAGACAGCGGUUCGACGCUGGAGUUACCCGGACGAGGCGCUUGUCUCGAAAGGGGAAGCUCCGGGUCGGGCCGUGGCGCGCCUCUCGGGCACAACUUUCCGCGGAAGUGGUAGGCGUUGACCUGCCCGCCGCGGGCCGUAUUUUCUACAACUCUUGAAGAAAAUCUGAAGUCUGAAUACAAAACAAAAUGAAAAGCA
rnacentral:misc_RNA from 1 species